AUAAAAGCUAUGAAGGGAAUUAGUAAAUAGAGUAAUUAUUUAAGAGAGUCGAUGGUUGGUGUAAAUCGAUAUGAUUAUCUAUUGAAUCCAUCCCAGAGCUGUUAAACUGAAAAGUUUAGUCGGGGAGCUCCGUUAAUAAGCUAAUGGUUAUUUUAAAAGUAAACCUAUGAGAGGACUAUUAUAGUCAAUCAGGGUGGCAACGCGGAAAUAGAAUCCUUCCGUCCCUAUA
rnacentral:ncRNA from 1 species